AAUAGAUACCCAGGUAGUCCACGCCGUAAACGUUGGGCGCUAGAUGUGGGGACCAUUCCACGGUUUCCGCGUCGUAGCUAACGCAUUAAGCGCCCCGCCUGGGGAGUACGGCCGCAAGGCUAAAACUCAAAGGAAUUGACGGGGGCCCGCACAAGCGGCGGAGCAUGCGGAUUAAUUCGAUGCAACGCGAAGAACCUUACCAAGGCUUGACAUAUGCGAGAACGCUCUAGAAAUAGAGAACUCUUUGGACACUCGUAUACAGGUGGUGCAUGGUUGUCGUCAGCUCGUGUCGUGAGAUGUUGGGUUAAGUCCCGCAACGAGCGCAACCCUCGUCGCAUGUUGCCAGCACGUAAUGGUGGGAACUCAUGUGAGACUGCCGGGGUCAACUCGGAGGAAGGUGGGGAUGACGUCAAAUCAUCAUGCCCCUUAUGUCUUGGGCUUCACGCAUGCUACAAUGGCCGGUACAAAGGGCUGCGAAACCGCAAGGUGAGCGAAUCCCAAAAAGCCGGUCUCAGUUCGGAUUG
rnacentral:rRNA from 1 species